rnacentral:rRNA from 1 species
CUGCCAGACUCCUACGGGAGGCAGCAGUGGGGGAUAUUGCACAAUGGGGGAAACCCUGAUGCAGCGACGCCGCGUGGGUGAAGAAGCGCCUCGGCGCGUAAAGCCCUGUCAGCAGGGAAGAAAAUGACGGUACCUGAAGAAGAAGCCCCGGCUAACUACGUGCCAGCAGCCGCGGUAAUACGUAGGGGGCAAGCGUUAUCCGGAUUUACUGGGUGUAAAGGGAGCGUAGACGGCCGUUCAAGCCAGAUGUGAAAGCCCGGGGCUCAACCCCGGGACUGCUCUGGAAACUGCGUCGCUGGAGUACGGGAGGGGCAGGCGGAAUUCCUGGUGUAGCGGUGAAAUGCGUAGAUAUCAGGAGGAACACCGGCGGCGAAGGCGGCCUGCUGGACCGUGACUGACGUUGAGGCUCGAGAGCGUGGGGAGCAAACAGGAUUAGAUACCCGGGUA